CUGAAAUAUUUGGUCACUGAGGAAUAAAGAAUAUUUUAGAUCAUGUUGAUCUAAAAUAAGAUAAAAUUUAAGGAAAAUUAUAUCAAGUUUACAUAUUUUGACAAACAGAUAAGAUUAAACAAUAAAACUUAAUGCCAAACCAAAAUUUUACAAAUGAAAUGUGAAAUUCCAAAGGACAACAACAAUAUUACAUCUACUGUGCCCCUGGGUACCUCAGCAGUCCUUAAUAGAACAUUCUACAGUAUUUCAAGAUCACAUCUUAAUAAGAAAAUACCUUAUUAACUAAGAAUUUAUUUUUCCAUUAGAUGCAGAUAUGCAUAGACUGAAUUCCACAAAUAGCAUCAUAAAAAGAGACAUUUUCUCCAUAUUUUAUCACUAUAGAUAGUGAAAUUCCCAAAAUAUAACUUUUUAGCCAUAGCAGGUUAUAUUCAUGAUAUGCAUAUCAUUUAUGUUUAUAAGCUUAACUAUUUUUCUCUUUCCUCUUAGAUUAUAAAUUUCCUGAGAGAAAGAAGUUGAUUUUUACAUAUUGGGUAGCUCUCUACAGAGUUGAGAUGUGCUCAAAAACCUUUACUGGUUAACCUCCAUCCUCCCUACUCUUUUGGCAAGUUGUCUACCAAACAAAAAAUUAAAAUAGGGUACUUUGGAGUCCCAAAUUGGAGAAGGUAUGUCUUUUGUCUACUGCACAACCACGCUGGCAGUGCUCGGAGAGAGUGUGCAGUGGAUCUCUGCAAGGAGAUUGACACCGCAGAGCUAGGAAUCCAAUCUAUAAUUUUCGGAGGAAUCUCUCUGAAAUAUAGAGCCACAAUCUCAGCCAGUGUCUAGCAUGAAAGAAUAUUUUAGCAGGAUUUUACAAGUAGUUCAUGAAUUUGAUGUUACUUCCAAAUUAUAAAUAUGGCAAAAGUCCUUUUAAAAUCAGAGUUUAUUUCAUAUAUGGAAAAAUAUUUUGCUUACUUUGUGAAAGCAAGCGAGUAUUAUUUAAUUAGGAAAUAUAUGUGGCAUAAUAUGAAAAUAUUUUAUUAUGAUGUGUAACAUGAGGUACAGUUCCUAAUUUAUUCAUUACCUCAAUUAGUUUUACUCAAUCCUCUUACCUUUAAGACACUGGGUAAUGUUUAAAUACCAGAGAAACAAAACACAGGCUGAUUCGCUUUAAAAGCAAUGCUUAUAUAGUUUAAUUUUAAAUAAAGCUGCUUUUAAAAGAAAGAUAACA
rnacentral:lncRNA from 1 species